rnacentral:rRNA from 1 species
UACCAGCACCCCGAGUGGUCGGGGCGAUUAUUGGGCCUAAAGCAUCCGUAGCCGGUUCUACAAGUCUUCCGUUAAAUCCACCUGCUUAACAGAUGGGCUGCGGAGGAUACUAUAGAGCUAGGAGGCGGGAGAGGCAAGCGGUACUUAGUGGGUAGGGGUAAAAUCCGUUGAUCCAAUGAAGACCACCAGUGGCGAAGGCGGCUUGCCAGAACGCACUCGACGGUGAGGGAUGAAAGCUGGGGGAGCAAACCGG